rnacentral:rRNA from 1 species
AGCAGCCGCGGUAAUUCCAGCUCCAAUAGCGUAUAUUAAAGUUGUUGCAGUUAAAAAGCUCGUAGUUGAAUUUCGGGAUUGGCGCAUCGGUCGUGCCUCACGGGGUAUGAACUGGUGCAGUCAAUUUCUCACCUUCUGGAGAACCGCGAUGUCCUUAAUUGGAUGCCGUGGGGAACCAGGACCUUUACUUUGAAAAAAUUAGAGUGUUUAAAGCAGGCAUUUUUGCUUGAAUACAUUAGCAUGGAAUAAUAAAAUAGGACGGCAUGGUUCUAUUUUGUUGGUUUCUAGGACCACCGUAAUGAUUAAUAGGGAUAGUUGGGGGCAUUAGUAUUCAAUUGUCAGAGGUGAAAUUCUUGGAUUUAUUGAAGACUAACUACUGCGAAAGCAUUUGCCAAGGAUGUUUUCAUUAAUCAAGAACGAAAGUUAGGGGAUCGAAGACGAUCAGAUACC